rnacentral:rRNA from 1 species
CUACGUGCCAGCAGCCGCGGUAAUACGUAGGGGGCAAGCGUUAUCCGGAAUUAUUGGGCGUAAAGAGUGCGUAGGUGGUCUACUAAGCGCGAGGUGAAAGGCAAUGGCUCAACCAUUGUUAGCCUUGCGAACUGGCAGACUUGAGUGCAAGAGAGGAAAGCGGAAUUCCUAGUGUAGCGGUGAAAUGCGCAGAUAUUAGGAGGAACACCGGCGGCGAAGGCGGCUUUCUGGAUUGUAACUGACACUGAGGCACGAAAGCGUGGGUAGCAAACAGGAUUAGAUACCCUGGUAGUCCACGCCGUAAACGAUGAGCACUAGGUGUCGGGACAUGAGUCUCGGUGCCGCAGUUAACGCAAUAAGUGCUCCGCCUGGGGAGUACGCACGCAAGUGUAAAACUCAAAGGAAUUGACGGGGACCCGCACAAGCAGCGGAGCAUGUGGUUUAAUUCGAAGCAACGCGAAGAACCUUACCAAGACUUGACAUCCCUCUG